CUAACUUGAAACUUAAGCUUGGCUCUGGAAUCCUGAUUACUGUUCCAAUCCCUAAAGAACACACAGCUUCUGGAGGCUUGAUUGAGUCUGCUAUACAAAGUGCCCUUAGAGAAGCCAGGUUGGAACUUUUUGGCUUUAAGUUUUACAUAAAUGGAAAUGGAUCCUUUGGGACAAGAAUAAAACCGGCAUUGCUGAAACUCCAUUCUUGCUUGCAGAAGUGAACGAACUCACUGGAGGAGCCCCACCGGCAUCUAACAUUGCACUUGUGAAAAACAAUGCUCUCGCUGGUGAUGAGAUUGCAGUAGCCUUGCUCAGCUCAAGUAACAUCCUAAUAGAGGUAAUCCUUGUGUUUUGUUGAUUUCUAAGUAACAAGCACAAGAAAAAUAACACCCAAGAACUUUUCUGGGUCACUAUCACCUUGUUAGGGUUGCUCUAGAUCAGCUUGACUGCCAUUUAAUUCAUCAAGUAGCAAGAUUUAUAGAGCUUUGUUCACAAAUCAUUUUCUGACUCUGAUUAUUAGCUACGAUGGUCUCUUAACAGCAGGUAUCCGCAACAGUACCUGUAUCAUUUUGAAAUCAAUGAAGUGGAAAAAGAAAAUGGAAUGCUGAAAAGUCUUGGUGACAAGGACUCGGGCAUAUGAAAGAAGAUUGUAACUUACCAAAAUCCCAGAUUCCUCUAGAUAGAUCAUUUUAUGCUCCAUUUCCUUCCCCAUCUCCCUUGGUGGCCCUUAAUCAUGCAUUCCAGACCCUAGUUAGGCUGUCAUUUCUGAUUAAAUUGAUGUCUAAUUUUUGGCAGUUGAUGCUGAGUGAGCGUCAUGCUCUCAAAACUGGCUUCACGUGGCAACCAAUAAUCUUGCGAGUUGGAAACUUAUUGGACUCUUCCUCUCUAAUACAUGUGCAUGCUCUCUCAUCAGGUGACCAGAGUUGAAAGCUGAUUGAAACCAUAGUUAGAAAUUCUUCGGUCAGUGACUAUUCAAUAAGUUGAAGUUCUGUUAUAUUUCCCUUGACUUCUUUAAGGUACUGUCUCGUAAGAAAUGCCCUCUAAAUCCAUCUAAGAAAUCAAAUCAGGGCCCUUUGUUGGGGUUGUUUGUAUUACAUUGGAUCAACUUUUCACCAUUAAUUUAUUUUAUCUGAUUUAAUUUUUGAUA